rnacentral:rRNA from 1 species
UACGUAGGGUGCGAGCGUUAAUCGGAAUUACUGGGCGUAAAGCGUGCGCAGGCGGUUCGUUGUGUCGGCGGUGAAAGCCCCGGGCUUAACCUGGGAAUGGCCGUCGAAACUGGCGAACUGGAGUGUGGCAGAGGGGGGUGGAAUUCCACGUGUAGCAGUGAAAUGCGUAGAGAUGCGGAGGAACACCGAUGGCGAAGGCAAGCCCUCCGGUC